GCAAUUAGUGAAACAGGUGUUCUGUGGUGAAACGACGGACACCAAAAUCGGUUGGGAUCCUCUGAGAACAAUGCAGAAAUCCUCGCUCGUUGAGAAGGCCGUGGUCGUGAGAACGACACAGACCGCAACCUUGGACCACAUCAUCUGGGGAUGCAGCAAGGACCCUCCCCCACCAAACCUCCUAGGAGUCACCUUCAAGUGAGGCCUGCGAGAGAAUCCUCAUGGUCACAAGCCUGGACACCCAGCUCCGGGCCAUCAAACGCGCUGACGAGGUGGCGACCAGGCAUGGCCUGACAGCCCUCGCUACUUAGGAAACCGUCAGCUGUCUUAAUAAAGCUGUUUAUUACUACCAAA